CCUCCAUCCCCUCCCCUGUUCUUUGGGGGAAUUGAGAGAAACCCCUGAGGAGACAGCCGUGCUGCUCCCGUGACUUAAAAAUCAGAAAGCAAUGCAUGUGUUGCAGAAGAAGCUGUGCUGGCCACAGAAGAAGUAUUGCACAUUUUCUGCCAGCAUUUCUCCAGCAAGACAUCAGACCUUUACAGAAGGAGCUGAAAGAAGGCUCACCCACUGCAGUCUCACUCAGGCUCCCUCAUCUCUCAACAAGAUCCAUGCGGUAGGAAAUUUGGAAAAGAGGGACUGCAGCAGGGACUACAUUAAGUGGAGCUGUGUUGCUGGCAGUUUGGAAAAGGCUUCCCUUUGCCCAGGCUUCCCAUCUCUUGUCUGUUUGCUCUCCGCAGACAUUCGAAGGAUGGAGUCUGGCUUGCAUGAGUGCCUGUGGAAAACCCAUUUGAAGUUUGCACGCUUGAAUACUGCCAUAUAGCAGAAGUGCUGGGCUGAGAUGACAAAGCUCUACCAGAGUCUCAAGCUUCAACCUGCCUAAUGAGGGACAAAAUCUUUCAUCCACCACUGCUGCCACCAUUUCUCUUCAUUGUGUGCUCUGCAAUUAGUACAUUUAACAGGGACACUGCUGAACGCAGCACAGUCCCAGUUCCUCAGGACAUUUUCCUGGAGCACAGGCACCCUGGCAGUUGGAUGUGGGUCUGAUUGUACCAUUGGCAGACCAGCCCAUGGCUGCAGGUGCUGCUAUUUCAAGUGAAGGUAAUAAAAAGAAGAUUGCAUUUCAGCCCUGCUCAUACACAGCUCACAGUACAACCACUUUUCCGGGGCUGAAGCUUUGAGCAAACAUCCUCCAGUAGAAUAAAGCCUGUCAAAAGCAGCCCAAAGUGCUUUUCCCAAUGACAAAAUUUGCACUGAUGCAGAUGGAGGAAAAACCCAAUCCUGUGUGAUGUCGCUUGUGAUGAACUCAGCCCUUUUCUGAACAGACAGGUUGAAAUACUUGUAACAGACCCUUCACAGUCCAUCUAACCUGUUAGAAAAGGAGAAAGAUAAUAAAUUGGACAACUAAAUUUGAAUUACAAAUAAAUUAGAGGAAGCCACAAUCAAGGUACUGACAUCCAGUAAGUGGGG